rnacentral:rRNA from 1 species
CAAUAGCGUAUAUUAAAGUUGUUGCAGUUAAAACGCUCGUAGUCGGAUUUCGGGGCGGGUCCGCCGGUCUGCCGAUGGGUACGCACUGGCGGGCGCGUCCUUCCUUCCGGAGACUGGCCCUACUCUUAGCUGAGCGGGGUCGGGAGUCGGAUCGUUUACUUUGAAAAAAUCAGAGUGUUUCAAGCAGGCAGCUUGCUCUUGCAUAGAUUAGCAUGGGAUAAUGAAAUAGGACUUUGGUGCUAUUUUGUUGGUUUCGAACACCGAAGUAAUGAUUAACAGGGACAGUCAGGGGCACUCGUAUUCCGCCGAGAGAGGUGAAAUUCUCAGACCAGCGGAAGACGAACCACUGCGAAAGCAUUUGCCAGGGAUGUUUUCACUGA